AUCCCGCCUGGAAAGCGACGAUGCAUUCGUGCCUCGGCCUCGAGAGGCGUAGCUAGACGGCCGCGUGGCCGUGGAAAGAGCCCGAUUCCGACCCGAGAGGCCGCGGCAAGAGGCGGCCUCGAAGUCGGUGGAUCCUCCUGCUCGAAAGGCGGGGUGCUAAACCAUUCGCAGACGACCUAGUUGAAGAUCGGGGUGUCGUGAUCACUAGAGCAGUACAUCUCACUGCGAUUUGUUGAGAGUAAGCCUCAAGAUCUGUCGGUUUGU
rnacentral:ncRNA from 1 species